ACACCGACAACCGGAGCUCAGAUUGGU
rnacentral:piRNA from 1 species